GAGUAUAUGAUAAACCUAUUAUACUGUGUUGAAUCAAAACAUAUCAUUCAUGUCAAAUAAGAGUAUAAGAAACUUCAACUCCUUCGUCAAGCCAACAACCAAAAAGGAUAAAAUAGAAACCUCACAGCCAUGCAUGUAUUCUCUAACAUGGGUGGAAAGAAAGGGACAAUCUUUAAAGCAAAUCGAGCAGUCAAAUGCAAAAGUUUUGUUUGUACAGUAGAAACUCCAUAAUUAAUACUCGAAAAAAAAAAUUCACUUUGGACCAGUGUAAACUUUGAAAAAAUUCGACAACAUAAUAUUUUUUUGAAAUUUUUUUAUGUAAAUAUAUGGUCUCAAUAUCAAUAUAAAUUAAUAAUUAGUUUGUAUGUAGUUUAUACAAAUAUGAACCACAAAUAUUGUAUAGUUUGUUUCCUUGUUUUUAUUCACUGUCAAAUUUAUCUUUAAUUAACUUUUAUUAAUUUUUUAAAAUAUAUUGAUGUUAUUAUAUCAUUUCAAUUUUCAAUGUAUUUACAUUUAUGGUAUAUAUUUUUUAUACACAAAUUGAUCGAAUAUGAACAACAAAAAAGUAUAAAAAAUUUAAAUAAUACAUAUACCAUUAAAUAAAUUAUUUUUCUUAUUUUUUACAUAAAAUAUAUUUUAAAUUACAUAAAUAUAAAAAAAAUAUUUUAAACAAAUUAUUAAUAACUCUAUAAAUUAAUAAAAUAUCAAAAUUUGAAUAUUAUUUUAUAUAAUUUUUACUGUAUGUAGGGUUUCUGGUCCUAAUCUAAUUAAAGCAGUUAUGCUCACCAACAUUUUAGUCAUAGUGUAUUAAAGUUUACAAUUUUAAACUGAUUUGGUCUUAUGCUUUUUUUUUUAAUUAAAUUUGGUAAAGAAAUUAAUUUAGUCUUUAUGUAUACUUAUGAAAUUUAAAUAAUACAUAUCUUGAUGAUUUCUUUCCAUAAUUUGAUAAGAAAGUUGACUAAAUCAAUACCGUUUUUAUCCUAUAAAAGGCUCCCACAACAUUGAUCAGAUACCAGUAUUUUUCUCAACAUUUAAAACAAUGGAGAAGAUCAUAUCAAUGAAGUUUGCCUUUGUUAUCUUCUUAGUGGUUACAUCCGUGAUGAGUAUUGAGGCAACAAGGUUAUUAUCCGAAGAAGCUCUUCAAACUAUGUUGCAGGGUGAAUCUUUGCCGCAUGGUGAAGAAAAGUUCCAUUUUGGUCGUCACUGUCCAAAAGGGUGUCAUGUGGAAUGUAAUCCCGAUCCUUUUGUUGUAAGAUGUGGUUGUGUGUGUAACCAUUAAUCUGAUCCCUUUUAAUCGAUCUGUAUAAAUAAAAAUAUAUAUUUUUCUCUUAUAAUUAUAUCAAUAAACGACUUGGCCAGUUA